rnacentral:rRNA from 1 species
GACGAACGCUGGCGGCGUGCUUAACACAUGCAAGUCGAACGGAAAGGCCCUGCUUUUGUGGGGGGCUCGAGUGGCGAACGGGUGAGUAACACGUGAGUAACCUGCCCUUGACUUUGGGAUAACUUCAGGAAACUGGGGCUAAUACCGGAUAGGAGCUCCUGCUGCAUGGUGGGGGUUGGAAAGUUUCGGCGGUUGGGGAUGGACUCGCGGCUUAUCAGCUUGUUGGUGGGGGAGUGGCUUACCAAGGCUUUGACGGGUAGCCGGCCUGAGAGGGUGACCGGCCACAUUGGGACUGAGAUACGGCCCAGACUCCUACGGGAGGCAGCAGUGGGGAAUAUUGCACAAUGGGCGGAAGCCUGAUGCAGCAACGCCGCGUGCGGGAUGACGGCCUUCGGGUUGUAAACCGCUUUCGCCUGUGACGAAGCGUGAGUGACGGUAAUGGGUAAAGAAGCACCGGCUAACUACGUG